GCAUAUCAAUAAGCGGAGGAAAAGAAACCAACAGGGAUUGCCCUAGUAACGGCGAGUGAAGCGGCAACAGCUCAAAUUUGAAAUCGGCCCCCCGGCCGAGUUGUAAUUUGCAGAGGAUGCUUCUGGGCAGCGGCCGGUCUAAGUUCCUUGGAACAGGACGUCAUAGAGGGUGAGAAUCCCGUAUGCGACCGGCGCGCACCCUCCACGUAGCUCCUUCGACGAGUCGAGUUGUUUGGGAAUGCAGCUCUAAAUGGGAGGUAAAUUUCUUCUAAAGCUAAAUACCGGCGAAAGACCGAUAGCGCACAAGUAGAGUGAUCGAAAGAUGAAAAGCACUUUGGAAAGAGAGUUAAAAAGCACGUGAAAUUGUUGAAAGGGAAGCGCUUGCAAUCAGACUUGUCGGCGGGGUUCCGCCGGUCUUUUGACCGGCCUACUCUCCGUCGACAGGCCAACAUCGUCUGGGGCCGCCGGAUAAGACGUUAGGAAUGUGGCUCCUCGGAGUGUUAUAGCCUAUCGUGAUGCGGCGCGCCCCGGGCGAGGUCCGCGCUUCGGCAAGGAUGUUGGCGUAAUGGUUGUCAGCGGCCCGUCUUGAAACACGGACCAAGGAGUCUAGCAUCUAUGCGAGUGUUCGGGUGUUAAACCCCUGCGCGUAAUGAAAGUGAACGGAGGUGGGAGCUUCGGCGCACCAUCGACCGAUCCUGAUGUCCUCGGAUGGAUUUGAGUAAGAGCAUAGCUGUUGGGACCCGAAAGAUGGUGAACUAUGCCUGAAUAGGGUGAAGCCAGAGGAAACUCUGGUGGAGGCUCGCAGCGGUUCUGACGUGCAAAUCGAUCGUCAAAUUUGGGUAUAGGGGCGAAAGACUAAUCGAACCAUCUAGUAGCUGGUUCCUGCCGAAG
rnacentral:rRNA from 1 species